UCAACGCGCGUGGGAGAGUUCGCCCAGGCGGCGCCGAAGGGGCAAUUCCUCCCCGGAACCUCUCAGGCACCAGGACCACGCGACGAGG
rnacentral:ncRNA from 2 species